rnacentral:rRNA from 1 species
AACGCACCUUGCGCUCCUGGGCUAUUCCUAGGAGCAUGCCUGUUUGAGUGUCGUGAAAUCAUCAACCCCAGUUGGAUUUGAAAUUUGACUGGUGGCUUGGACUUGGGGGUUUGCUGGCCGUUUUGAUUCGGUAUGGCUCCCCUUGAAUGUAUUAGCUUGGACUUGUUCCUAAGGCUUCAUGGCGUGAUAAUUAUCUACGCUGUUUGAACUUUGGCAGAAAUUAUAUAUUCAUGCUUCAAACCGUCUUCGGACAACUUUUUGCAUUUGACCUCAAAUCAGGUAGGACUACCCGCUGAACUUAA